rnacentral:rRNA from 1 species
UACGUAGGGUGCAAGCGUUGUCCGGAAUUAUUGGGCGUAAAGAGCUCGUAGGCGGUCUGUCGCGUCUGCUGUGAAAACUCGGGGCUUAACCCCGGGCCUGCAGUGGGUACGGGCAGACUAGAGUGCGGUAGGGGAGACUGGAAUUCCAGGUGUAGCGGUGAAAUGCGUAGAUAUCUGGAGGAACACCGGUGGCGAAGGCGGCAUCCUGGACCAAUACUGACGCUGAGGAGCGAAAGCCAGGGGAGCAAACGGG